AAGGCAGUUUGGCGCCAGCAGCCAAGUUGUAGAAUUGCUUUGGAGGCUGCCGGGGUGCACAAGAGAAUUGACAAGAACAGACACCGUUGCAGACCAAAGGCAUGCCUGAUUGCACUUGAGUCAGAUCGCUGGGACGCAGCCUCUGCUCUAACUAUUUGUGGCCGAAUAAAGGAAAGGAGACUAGAAACAGGACUGCCAGUGGUAUUCCUAAAAGGAAAACAAGGACACUCCAGAAGGAGGGGGAAAACAGCCCAGCUGUUACGCCAGCACUUAGACUUGCCACAGAUCAAGUUACCAAUUGCUUCUGUUGUGUUCACUUAUUCCCAGAUGCUCUUUGAGGUAAGAGCUGGCUGAUGCUAAACAUGUUUUAGUUUUAAACUGAAAAGACUUUGCAUGUAUAAUUUAGUAUUCCAUAGUAAACAAUAUAAGACAAUUUU
rnacentral:lncRNA from 1 species